rnacentral:rRNA from 1 species
GACGGAGGAUGCAAGCGUUAUCCGGAAUUAUUGGGCGUAAAGCGUCCGCAGGCGGCUGUUCAAGUCUGCUGUCAAAGCGCAGAGCUUAACUCUGUACAGGCGGUGGAAACUGAAGAGCUAGAGUAUGGUAGGGGUAGAGGGAAUUCCCGGUGUAGCGGCGAAAUGCGUAGAUAUCGGGAAGAACACCAGUGGCGAAAGCGCUCUACUGGGCCAUAACUGACACUGAGGGACGAAAGCUAGGGGAGCGAAAGGG